rnacentral:rRNA from 1 species
AGGGACAGGUAGCGAGCGCACAAGCAGUAAAGAAACAAAAGGACGGAGGGGGGAGGGAGAGACGGUGUGGCCCAGGAUAGCGACGGCCUGCCCCGGCGACGGAGCCCAAACGAAACUAGACUGUCGGCGGGCUGCUGCCCCCACCAGCGCACCAUCCCUCCCUGGUCUGAGGGGAGGGUGAGGGAGAGUGGGAAAAGACCCGGCCCAGACUCCUACGGGAGGCAGCAGUGGGGAAUCUUGCACAUGGGCGAAAGCCUGAUACAACGACGCCGCGUGAGGGAAGAAGGCUUUCGGUUGUAAACCUCUUUCAGGAGGGACGAAGCUACUCGGGUUAAUAGCCCGAGGGUGACGGUACCUCCAGAAGAAGCCCCGGCUAACUACGUGCCAGCACCGCGGUAAU